rnacentral:rRNA from 2 species
GCUUCUUUUUCCACCGGAGCUUGCUCCACCGGAAAAAGAGGAGUGGCGAACGGGUGAGUAACACGUGGGUAACCUGCCCAUCAGAAGGGGAUAACACUUGGAAACAGGUGCUAAUACCGUAUAACAAUCGAAACCGCAUGGUUUUGAUUUGAAAGGCGCUUUCGGGUGUCGCUGAUGGAUGGACCCGCGGUGCAUUAGCUAGUUGGUGAGGUAACGGCUCACCAAGGCGACGAUGCAUAGCCGACCUGAGAGGGUGAUCGGCCACAUUGGGACUGAGACACGGCCCAAACUCCUACGGGAGGCAGCAGUAGGGAAUCUUCGGCAAUGGACGAAAGUCUGACCGAGCAACGCCGCGUGAGUGAAGAAGGUUUUCGGAUCGUAAAACUCUGUUGUUAGAGAAGAACAAGGAUGAGAGUAACUGUUCAUCCCUUGACGGUAUCUAACCAGAAAGCCACGGCUAACUACGUGCCAGCAGCCGCGGUAAUACGUAGGUGGCAAGCGUUGUCCGGAUUUAUUGGGCGUAAAGCGAGCGCAGGCGGUUUCUUAAGUCUGAUGUGAAAGCCCCCGGCUCAACCGGGGAGGGUCAUUGGAAACUGGGAGACUUGAGUGCAGAAGAGGAGAGUGGAAUUCCAUGUGUAGCGGUGAAAUGCGUAGAUAUAUGGAGGAACACCAGUGGCGAAGGCGGCUCUCUGGUCUGUAACUGACGCUGAGGCUCGAAAGCGUGGGGAGCAAACAGGAUUAGAUACCCUGGUAGUCCACGCCGUAAACGAUGAGUGCUAAGUGUUGGAGGGUUUCCGCCCUUCAGUGCUGCAGCUAACGCAUUUAAGCACUCUCGCCUGGGGAGUACGACCGCAAGGUUGAAACUCAAAGGAAUUGACGGGGGCCCGCACAAGCGGUGGAGCAUGUGGUUUAAUUCGAAGCAACGCGAAGAACCUUACCAGGUCUUGACAUCCUUUGACCACUCUAGAGAUAGAGCUUCCCCUUCGGGGGCAAAGUGACAGGUGGUGCAUGGUUGUCGUCAGCUCGUGUCGUGAGAUGUUGGGUUAAGUCCCGCAACGAGCGCAACCCUUAUUGUUAGUUGCCAUCAUUUAGUUGGGCACUCUAGCAAGACUGCCGGUGACAAACCGGAGGAAGGUGGGGAUGACGUCAAAUCAUCAUGCCCCUUAUGACCUGGGCUACACACGUGCUACAAUGGGAAGUACAACGAGUCGCAAAGUCGCGAGGCUAAGCUAAUCUCUUAAAGCUUCUCUCAGUUCGGAUUGUAGGCUGCAACUCGCCUACAUGAAGCCGGAAUCGCUAGUAAUCGCGGAUCAGCACGCCGCGGUGAAUACGUUCCCGGGCCUUGUACACACCGCCCGUCACACCACGAGAGUUUGUAACACCCGAAGUCGGUGAGGUAACCUUUUGGAGCCAGCCGCC